rnacentral:rRNA from 1 species
GAUGAACGCUGGCGGCGUGCCUAAUACAUGCAAGUCGAGCGAACGGACGAGAAGGUUGCUUCUCUGAUGUUAGCGGCGGACGGGUGAGUAACACGUGGAUAACCGACCUAUAAGACUGGGAUAACUUCGGGAAACCGGAGCUAAUACCGGAUAAUAUUUUGAACCGCAUUGUUCAAAAGGGAAAGACGGUCUUGCUGUCACUUAUAGAUGGAUCCGCGCUGCAUUAGCUAGUUGGUAAGGUAACGGCUUACCAAGGCAACGAUGCAUAGCCGACCUGAGAGGGUGAUCGGCCACACUGGAACUGAGACACGGUCCAGACUCCUACGGGAGGCAGCAGUAGGGAAUCUUCCGCAAUGGGCGAAAGCCUGACGGAGCAACGCCGCGUGAGUGAUGAAGGUCUUCGGAUCGUAAAACUCUGUUAUUAGGGAAGAACAUAUGUGUAAGUAACUGUGCACAUCUUGACGGUACCUAAUCAGAAAGCCACGGCUAACUACGUG